UUGGUUCCUCCGUGCAACUUCAUGCCUGACUUACAUUCAUAUUGUUCUUUCACCACACUUACGCUUCUCCAAAUUUAGAAAGAAGCUGUGUACACAGCGUUCUUGCAAGUUACAAUAACGCGUCCGGUUUGGCGGCAACUUCAAAGAGUGGACAUAUGGUUGCUCCUUCAGCCACAGCAAAGAUCCCGAACCACGUGCAGUCAGCAGAGUUACAGCGUCUGGUUACCGUCUUGCAGUUACGAUACAUAAUAUGUGCACAUAGCUUUCAAUGACCAGACGAAAAAAAGAAUUCAUUUCAAGUAUGUUGAGAAGAAAACGACCCAUCUCUGAAAAAAUCACCUCACCCAAGAAAAUACGACUCAUUCAUGAGAAUGAAAGUGCAAAGUCUCCCAAGAAAUUGUCUUGUAAUAUAGCAUGUGAAUAAACAAUUUUUUGAAAUA